CUACGGGUCGCUGCAGUGAGGAAUUUUGCGCAAUGGGGGGAACCCUGACGCAGCAACGCCGCGUGAGUGAAGAAGGCCUUUGGGUCGUAAAGCUCUGUCAACUGGGAAGAAGUUAUUCAUGUUUAAGAGAUGUGAGUAUUGACGGUACCAGUGGAGGAAGCGUCGGGGAACUCCGUGCCAGCAGCCGCGGUAACACGGGGGACGCAAGCGUUAUUCGGAAUUAUUGGGCGUAAAGGGCGCGUAGGCGGUUUUAUCGGUCAGAUGUGAAAGCCCGGGGCUCAACCCCGGACGUGCAUUUGAAACAGUAAGACUUGAGUACGGGAGAGGAAAGCGGAAUUCCUGGUGUAGAGGUGAAAUUCGUAGAUAUCAGGAGGAACACCAAUGGCGAAGGCAGCUUUCUGGACCGAUACUGACGCUGAGGCGCGAAGGCGUGGGUAGCGAACGGGAUUAGAUACCCGCGUAGUC
rnacentral:rRNA from 1 species